CAAGAAAGUCAAAUCUCUCACUGCCUCUAUUACUUCCAUUCGGGAAUUAAGUAGUUAUAAAAACAAAAGAGUGGCCAAAACCCAGAUAAUGCAAUCAGGUAACCUGCCAGACAGGAGAGAACACACUCAGCAUUCUGUUUUAGACCGCCCCCUGUGAUAUAUGUAUGAUGUAUUGGGGGGGUGGUCCUGGGCUACACCCCUUCUGUGAUGUAUGUAUGAUAUUUCUGGGGGUGGUCUGGAGUUUAAGGAUGUGCAAUUUCAAAAGUCUAUAUGAGGGCAGGCACAUCUUUGUUCUGGGUUCCUCCUCUUUCCUGCUGGUGGCGAGUGAGGACUCUGUUGCAACAGUUUAAUAAAGAACAGGCUUACUCGCUGCUUUGCUUCUCAAUAUUCUCUGGUUGGUCUCUGUUAUUUUCUCCUACUGAUAGAGAACCUACAAAAGGACUGUAUAUGGGCUCUUGGGUACCCCGUAAGGGAAAAGGAGCAGGGGUUUUUUUCUCAUAACAGUUUGCAAACACAGAGUUGAUGGACACAGUUCAUCUUCAGUAGCAGCUAUGAUUAAGAUGAGCCCCAUUCGGUACCAAUGCACUUUUGGCCAGAGAUUUUCGCAGGAUGUAGAACACAAUGUUUGCAGCUCCAAACAGGAGUUCAUAUGCACCGUGUUGCCGGCGGGGAGGUGUGUGUGUGAGAGAUUGAGUAAUCUGUUCUGGUCAGGCACAGCGAGGCGAGAAACUGGGUGAGAGUUUAUCAUUUGGGGAGAAGACCAAAAUGCAGGAAACCAAUCAGAAAGUGGUAGGAGGAUCAAAGGCAAUGAGCUGGAAGAGCAGAGAGGAGGAAGGAACUACCGGUAAGUCAGUGCAAGAGGUUAGGGGUGAAGGGAACAGUGGAGCUAGAGGAACCAAGUAAGAGAAGGAGGGACAAGGACCAGAAGAGAAACUGGACCCAGGGUCGGACCUGACACUUGUGCUUGCAAGCUAGGAUGCUGUUCCAUGUAAGAACCAAUUGGUUAGCAUUUGUUGCUCUUUCCUUUGUGGAUACUUGUUGGGGCUUUUCAUAUUUUAAAAAACCCCACAAAACUCAACUCCUUUGAACUUGUCUGAUAUAGCAGUGCUUGGUUGAGAUGAUGGGAUCACUGCAAUGGCAUCCAGGACAGCAGUAGAGUAGGAUCCCAGUUGAAGAGUGAUUGAGGCCUCCUUAUAAAAUAUCUCAUAAAAAUCCCGACAGCUACAUCAUUUUGGAGCUAUUUGGAAGCUAGAUCUUAAUGCUAGUCCUCUUCGAAUUUCUGGUGCUCACUGCAGAAGGAUCUCAGGGAAGCAGGAAUGAAAGGAGAAGUGUGGACUUUUGGCUUGAAAAGGUUCCCUGCCACCACCUUUAACAAAUUCCCUCUGUCACAAGAAGGAAGUUGGCUAAAGGGAUUUGGAUGUUUGGUUUUUCUUUUAUUUAUGCAGCAGUUUCUACCAUGCCCCUCUAACACAGAAGACAGCGAUAGCCAUCACAGUGCCCUCCAAAUGGUGUUGGACUGGAACUCCCAUCACCAGCCUGUAUUCAAUUAUGUGGGGCAGGGCUUACCUGCCCACCUCCCAAUAUUUUAUUCAGGUUGGCACCCCUGCCAGCGGGCAUGCUGGCUGGGGCCAGUGGGAACUGGAGUCUCCAAAUCUGGAGGCCACCAUGUUGGCUACCCCUGGCAUAAACAAUACCGCAACAGUUACUGUAUAAAAACAGGUAACAGAACAAUAUAAAUUACAACUGAGGUAGGCACAAGCAGAUAAAAUAGCACGUUUUAACACCACCAGCUACCUACCUGACCAGGCAGAAGCCUAGGAUGCAAUAAGAAUGUCUUCACUCACCGGAAGAAGAGCAUCAGAGAAGGGAAGUCACCCAAGCUUUGUGGGACAGCCACUGCAUAGGUUCUGUUUCUGAACAGCCCUACAGUCUGUGAUUCUGUGCUUGAGGUAAGACACAGAUAAGGGCUUCCGCCCCAUACCCACCCAGAUCUUAAGCAUUGGGCUGGCUGGUAAAUAAAGAGGCCCCUGAGUCACCCUGAACCCAAGCCAUUUAGGGCUUUAGCAGAAAUUAAUCACCAAUAUUUGGAAUUGUGCCCAAAAGCAAAUUGGAAAGCAGUGCAGGCAUUGCUGAAUCCAUGUAACUUAGGCUGUGUUGACAUGGCAGUUUAUUCCCUUUUCACGACUUUUCCCUGUUAAUUUCCAUAUGACUG